CGCAAUGGGCGAAAGCCUGACGGAGCGACGCCGCGUGCAGGAUGAAGUCCUUCGGGAUGUAAACUGCUUUUAUAGGGGAGGAAGUUUAUUGACGUUACCCUAAGAAUAAGAGGUUGCUAAACUCGUGCCAGCAGCAGCGGUAAUACGAGUGCCUCAAGCGUUAUCCGGAAUCAUUGGGCGUAAAGGGUGUGUAGGUGGUCGCCUUAGUCUUUUGUUAAAUUUCCCGGCUUAACCGGGAACCUGCGAAGGAAACGGUGCGACUAGAGGGUGCAAGGGGUCUGCGGAACUCAUAGUGUAGCGGUGAAAUGCGUUGAUAUUAUGGGGAACACCAAAAGC
rnacentral:rRNA from 1 species